rnacentral:lncRNA from 1 species
CCUGGCUCACAGCUUUGCCUCGACACGAAGGUUCGCAACUGGCUCCUUUGGAAAUCCUAAGCUUUCUUCCCAAGUGCAAGAAGAGGGUAAAGUAUCUCUGAAGUAGCUUUCACUGCGAUGAGACAGGGCGGGCGUGACGCGCUGCAACGAGGCAUAAACAGGUGUGUUUAGUCCACCGGAUGGAUUAUGAUCGGUUCUCAGUUCACCGAAAGAAGUUGGCGGUAAGGUAGCCCGAAAGCACGUGUGUGCGGAGGCAUCACUACCGCUUUCGGGAUCAUAGAGGCACUACUGCAGCGUGCAACAAAAAGAUAAGUUAACAAAUUGACUCCAUUUUCAGUCCAGCCUUCAACCGACCGUGCUGUGCAGUUUUUUGAUUCAUUCGUCAAUUUCACUACCUGUAAGUAUCGUGAUAAGGUUCACUCCUAGAGAACACUUACUGUGCUUUUCGCGGCCAGGGAAAGUUCUCUAAAUGGGCGGCAGGAUGCCAUGCUGGAAGUUCUUCCUUCCAGGCUGCGCAUUCUUUUUGCUUAACGGCACGUCUCUUUCCUUGUUCAAUACUGUUUAAAUCCUUCAUCUGCUAGUUUGUUCAGCAAGUCUCGAGAGUCACUCGUGUGGGGUGAAGGACUACUGUCACGCACAGUGAUAUUCCGUGGAAUGAGCCGGCGGCACAAUUGUACGAGGGUGUGUGUCGCCCGCUGCUGGCUUCAGUGCAUGAAAGACUGACAAAGCAUGUUGUAUUUCGUUGCCGACUAAAGGUGGCACGCGAACGUACCACCAGUCCUAUAGUUCAGCGGGGGACGCCGAAAGGUCUUCGUUGAGUCCGUGUCCAAUAAAUGGGGGCUCGUUUUCUGUUCAAAACAAUCACAGACAUGUUGAGGAACUGCGUAGAAAGUACCCAUGGUUUGGUAGACGAUGUGACACUUGUUAGACGCGGGGGAUUUGCAGAGAAGCAACUCGGCACCUACUCUGCAAACUCACAGUAACGCUGCUUUCGAGGUUAAAUGCUCUGCACUAAUGCAUAGGAAUUUCCACUCGUCAUAUGGUUGAACGCUGCAAGUAUGUGGUUCCAGCUGUGGUGAAAAUCGGGGCCUUUCAGAUAACCGGGGGAUACUCUGGCCAACCGAGCGAUAAGAGUGAGCGGCACUCUCCCAUGAAGGUCAAGAAGUGAGUGGCAUCUAGAGCGUCAGACACUAGUUAUUCUUUCCCAAGAAGUGCUCUUCUUGCUGAUAUUUUUUUAAGUUCCGGAGUUCCAUGUUGUUAGUGGCGUUCCUGCGAUUAGCGUAUCCGUAAGGGGGUAUGAGCAUCGAUUUCCAAGAGGAAAUGGUACGGAGUGAGGCACCGCUUGCUUGUGUGCCAGAGUGAUCACCGCGGGAGCACGCACCAUCCAG